GUGGACAUUCCACCGAGACUGCCCUGCUGUCUGUCACUGAGUCGCUGAGACAGGCGAAAGCUGGAUCCAGAUCAUCUGUCCUGAUUCUACUGCACCUUUCUGCAGCCUUUGACACAGUCAACCAUCAGAUCCUACUCUCCACCCUCUCUACUCUGGGCAUCACAGGAACUGUUCUUGACUGGUUUAAUUCCUAUCUCUCAGGUGCCACAACCCGGGAAGGAGGAGGGAUGUGCCGUAGUAGAGUCCUCACCACUACCAUCCACCCCAACGGAGCAGCCGCGGCCACCCGCCGGGGGACGGAGUAGCCCAGCCGCCUGGGAGUGGAGGAACGGCCACUGACCGCGAGGGGAGGAGGGGCUCCUAGCCGACCACCUGGAGCAGUCAGGGCUGCUGCCAGGGGCGGAGAAGACCCCUAUCAGCCGCUAAAACGCGGUGGGUCAAAGAACCGCAGACCGCGAGCGGGGAGGGGCUCCUGGCCGACCGCCUGGAGUGGGAUGAUCGCUGCCAGUGGCGGGGGAGACCCUUUCCGUCCACCGAAAACGCAGCGUGGUCAGAGGCCGGAGGACUGCCUCCGAUCCGCCCGGGGAGGCGUGGCUGUCGUCCACUAGAGGAUGGAGGAGUGGCCAAGGACCAGUCUACAGUGUAUCGGAGAACCAGCAAAUCCAGGAAAAUUGGGAUGACCUGCUGGCAAACAGGGCUGGAAGGGCACGCUCUGGCCUGAGAGAACGAGGGAGGAAUGUGGCAGGGUGGAGGGUGGGGCCGGGCUGUGAUCCCGCACACACAGCCCCUAAUUAGG